rnacentral:sRNA from 1 species
UUUGGCUCCUUUGUCAAAAAUCAAGUGACCAUAGAUCAGGGUAGAAAUCUUUGGGAUCAUUUGACCAUCACCCUGCAGGACGAGCACAUUAACAUCUUCAUUAAAAUUGUCAAGGCCACAAGAUUCAGGUGAGGAGGGGUCUCCACGCCCACCAUGCACAGACUCUAUUCACUUUGCAACCAGCGGAGGCUCAACUUUGCAAGAUCAGGUUUUGCUCAUAUCAGGGUUAUCUCCAGGGCCCAGGUGGGGCAAAGACAAAGCCCAGCUGUGUGAUAUCCAAAAGAUUUAC